rnacentral:piRNA from 1 species
UAACAUAUAUUUCUGAUUAAA